rnacentral:rRNA from 1 species
UACGUAGGGUGCGAGCGUUAAUCGGAAUUACUGGGCGUAAAGCGUGCGCAGGCGGUGAUGGAAGGCAGAUGUGAAAUCCCCGGGCUCAACCUGGGAACUGCAUUUGUGACUGCAUCGCUGGAGUGCGGCAGAGGGGGAUGGAAUUCCGCGUGUAGCAGUGAAAUGCGUAGAUAUGCGGAGGAACACCGAUGGCGAAGGCAAUCCCCUGGGCCUGCACUGACGCUCAUGCACGAAAGCGUGGGGAGCAAACAGG